UAGAAUUCAAUUUUAGUAAAGUCGACUUCACACAGCAUCAAAACUCUCUCUCAUUUUUGAAAUGUCUAAAUCAAAUUUUUUAUGCCUCUUAGCUAUUGGCUCUUUAAUGAACUUACUAUAUAUGGACCAUGUAAAUACUACUUCAAUGCCAGAGCGAUUUCCUUAAGUCGGAGCUAACUUCCAAUCGAAGGAAGGGAAAGGGCGAAGAAAGACAAUCAAAGCGGUCAACAUUUAUUAUCAAUAUACGACGUAUAAGUAUAAAUUUUAACUUUUACUUCCAUGGACAUUGUAGUCAGACAGAAAUGACAGAGUACUGCCAAAAAAUCAUAA